rnacentral:rRNA from 1 species
CCUACGGGUGGCAGCAGUGAGGAAUAUUGGUCAAUGGACGCAAGUCUGAACAAGCCAUGCCGCGUGCAGGAAGACGGCGCUAUGAGUUGUAAACUUCUUUUGUACGGGGGUAAACGCAGAUACGCGUAUCUGUCUGAAAGUAUCGGACGAAUAAGGAUCGGCUAACUCCGUACCAGCAGCCGCGGUAAUACGGAGGAUGCAAGCGUUAUCCGGAUUUAUUGGGUUUAAAGGGUGCGUAGGCGGUCGGAUAAGUUAGAGGUAAAAUCCCAGGGUCAACCUCGGAAUUGCCGUUGAUACUGUUCGGCUAGAGAGUAGUUGCGGUAGGCGGAAUGUAUGGUGUAGCGGUGAAAUGCUUAGAGAUCAUACAGAACACCGAUUGCGAAGGCAGCUUACCAAGCUACUUCUGACGUUGAGGCACGAAAGCGUGGGGAGCAAACAGGAUUAGAUACCCUUGUAGUC